GUUUUUGUUUUUUCUUAUUUUUUUAAUGCAUGUUGUAGCGAUCUUUUGAUAAAGUUUCAGUCAGGUAACAGAGUUUGAGUUUUCUUUCCAUGUCUUUGAAACUACAUCAAAUGGCCUCUUAUACACACGAAGAGUUUGAACUCAGCCAGAAACAUGAAGAUAUGUGAGUCCGUUCAGUUUGUUCUUGAGAACAGAGCUGCAGACUGGGGAAAAGAGCAUUACUGCUGCAGCAGUUUGGAAGCACACUAUGAACAGCAGAAGGCUAAGAAGAAACAGCAGUGUCUGAUGUCUCAAGCAGCGAAGGAGAGGAAUGCUCAGAUCCUUCAGGAUUUUCAGAAUGCUGAAAAAAAUCUUCAAACCAGACAGCUCCUUCAUCCAGAUAUUAUUAACCUUGAGACUCUUUAUUGGGCCUCAGUUGAACGGAAACUACCAGAAUGGGAGCAGUAUUUGCUUGGGAAAGGACAACCGCCGGUGAGUGAAACUGGGAGAUUGCUUAGGCAAUAGAGACAGAAAACUAGACAACAAGAUUCCUCACCUGUACAAUGCAAGGGUAAACCCCCUCGACCAAAACCUAGAUGACCCGUAAAUACACAAUUUAGUAUUUUUUGCCCCAAAUUGUUAUUUUUAUUUAUUUUGUUUUUGUUGUAUACUGUACAUUUGAUUUAAAUAUUGUAUAUGCAAAUACAGAAUAAAUGUGUUCAUUGAAUAUUAUAUUAGCAUUUGCUUACAUAAGUGCAUCCACAUGGGGGCAAUACUGACUACAUUUUCUGUAACUACACCACUGUCAUUUCUUUUGUAUAUAUAUAUAUAUAUAUAUAUAUAUAAGAAAAUAUAUAAAUGAAUGAAUCAGUUGUGAUUUGAAAUAAACCAUGCA
rnacentral:lncRNA from 1 species